AGAAGACCACAGCGGUUGCAGUUGCCAUUCAUGGGCAUUGCCAACAAAUGGAGCCAACACUCCAGGAUGGAUUCAAUGUGCGACUGCAGAGGACCAGAGGCCUAGUCAAGAGGCGGCAACGGCAAUCAGGAACAGGAGCUUGCUUCUCUUCUGGAGUCGUUUACUUCUUGACGAAAUCGGAAAUGAAACGCAAUCCGAUCCACCGGUCACGGACGAGGUCACUCUGCGUCAAGCUGCGGCCGUUCCUGGCCACAUCUGAAAGCCAAUGUUUCAGCGAGCAGGGAGACAGCGCGGGACCCCAGCCCCGUGACGCCCAGCCCGCUUCUCGACCCCCUGCCUCUGGCGUGGACGACAGGGCUAACCUUCCUUCUUAAACCCUCAACUUGUCCCUUUGUCUUGUCCGCAGGCCCGGUGGCUCUUGAGAGUGGGGACAAUGCAACUGCAACGUUGCAGCGUGGAGCAACGGGGACCUGUUCACCAGAGCUCCUUCGAACUUUGACCGCAUGGAGAAAUGGUGAGAUUUACUUCUGAUCAAAAGUGACCAAGCUGAAACACUAACUCCGUUUCCUCUCUCCGCAGAUGCUGCCUGACCUACUGCGUGCUUCCAGCAUUUCCCAUUUCGUUAUUUGUUUGUGGAUGAUAAAUAAACACAUCAUCAACGUUGAGUUAAUCCUCAAAGAGAAAGCCUAUGGUUUGAAAUAGGAUCAUGUGUGCAAUUUGGUUAAAAUGUUGAAUCAGUCAUCUGGGGGGAUAUCUGAAUGGGGCCAUUGGUGGAUAUCAUUAUUGGUUUGGAUACCUUCUUGGGAUGCGUAUAGUUUGACACUGUGGAGAAGACUACAGAGGAGGUCGCUGCAACACCUUCCAUCUCUCAAUCUUCACCGCAAACAGCAGGGAACAACUUUGUUCCUGUAUUCCAGCAACAUAUUCGCUGCUUUUAUCCAAGAGGCAAAGAGAUUCCCGAACAGCCUUCAUCAUUAAUGGAGAAAAGUGGUUUGUCUCUCACCAACACGGAACGUCAUCUUUUUGCUGAAACAACAAGGCAAGCUGGUCACCGCACACUGACAGUGGGAAAGACCUCAGCCGUUCUCCAAAGAACAUCGGGAACAUCAGGCAAGCCUGGAUGCAGCAACCUCUUGAAGAAAUUGUGAGAUUUGCCACUUCACUUUGGCUAAAACGAUGAGUAUCUGUGAAUCGUCUGGGAGGGGAAGUGAGAGCGGGGCCACUGAUGGAUGCCAUUUCUGUGAUGGAUAACGUUCUGGGAUACACGCGCCUUGGAAGAUUUUAUAGGGCCGGCACGGAGCAAUUCCCCGAAAAUUAACAGCCUGCACCAUGAAGCUGCUUGGACGGCACGUUCCCGGGACGGGAUUAUUGCUACAAUCCAGUGGGAAGAGGCCCAGUCGACAGGCUUCAGUGAGAGUGGAGAAAGGAAGAUGGUUUCACCCAAUCUGUACAAUGAUCAUUGUGUGAGGCCAAAUAAAAAAAACAGAAAGCUGGGAACCCAUCACACUCAUUGACUUCGCGUGUGGCACCAUCGGUUCGAGUCCAGGUAAGUCUGCUGGUGCGGUUCGGCAGCGGAGGUGAAACUCUAGGUCAGCAAGCAGUGAUUUUCGUUUUUGUAAUCAGUUGGAACCUCCAUCUCCUGCUCUCUCCCCUGACGUUACACGUUUUGCACUGACUCCCUAUGCCAACUGUUCAGCUGUUUUGGCAACAGGACUCUAACCCGCACAAGUGCCAUUUUCCUUGCAGGAUUGGGAGCGAGGGAGACGGCACAUCGGGAACGGCACGGACGGGACAGGCAAGGCAUCGGCGACAUCUCGCCACUCGCCUCUCUUCACCUUUUCCUCUUGUGGUUUUAGGUCAUCUCAACUCGACAGCACUGAGCAAUGCAAGACGGAUCCAGAAUCUGUGCAGACUGGGCCGAUCUGGGCCACGCAUGGAUUGUAGUUUUCACACAGUUGAUGUGGUUCAUUGCCAUGCCUCUCAAGUCUAUCUAACUCGCAUUCCAAGCCCCUUGUCCGAUCGUGCGCAAGUGUUACUUAAUGCCUGGCUCUUCCAGCUUGGGAAGAUGUUUCCUUUCCUUCAGCUCAUCUCAGAUCAGGCCGUGCAUGUGGUUCUUGUUGGUGGAUGGGGCUGGUGUGAGGGGGGGGGGGGGGUUGGAUCAAGUCGCUGCCAUCGUUGUCCAUCGGUGUUAGCUCGCACCCGCUGCUUCUUGCUUCUCCCUCAUUGCUCCGACCGACUUCCUGACUCGCUUGGACCACGUCAGGCUUUGUCCCGACAUCGCGCGUGCGACCAUUGUGAGCCCCCGUACUCACGUGCUGGGUCUGAGUGAGUUAAGGUCCUGUAACCGGGAUGGGUGUGCGACCACAAACAAUGUGAAUCCAAAGACAGGCGGAGAACAUGGGGCAAGACAUUCACACUCCGUGCUGGAAGUCAUGGAUUACCUCCGUCAAUGCCCGUCACGGCUUGGCCAACGUCUAUAGCUGAAGAAGGGUCUCGACCCGAAACGUUGCCCAUUCCUUCUCUCCAGAGAUGCUGCCUAUCUGUCCUGCUGAGUUACUCCAGCACUUUGUGUAUAUCUUCGGCAUAAACCAACACCUGCAGUUCCUUCCUACACUAUUCUCUACAGUGUUUGCUCAGUCCACUUUAGACAACUCUAUUUCUUUGUAAUUCCACGUAUCCUAAUUUAAUGUGCAGAUGUAUCGUGGGGUGCAAGUCCAUAAUUCUCUGCCAGUGGCAACACAAGUAAAUGUAGUGGCAAUGAAGGCGGGUGGUACGCUUGCCAUCCUAGCUCGGGGCAUUGAGUA